AGCACAUGAUGAGUGCAUACUUCUGGUCCGUGUUGUUGAAAUAUCAUGAUAACAUUAGAAGUGCUGAGCU